UACGGAGGGUGCGAGCGUUGUCCGGAAUCAUUGGGCGUAAAGGGCGCGUAGGUGGCCCGGUCAGUCUUUGGUGAAAGCGCGGGGCUCAACCCUGCGUCGGCCGUCGAUACUGCUUUGCUUGAGCACUGUAGAGGCUAAUGGAAUUCCGGGUGUAGCGGUGGAAUGCGUAGAGAUCCGGAAGAACACCGGUGGCGAAGGCGGUUAGCUGGGCAGUUGCUGACACUGAGGCGCGACAGCGUGGGGAGCAAACAGG
rnacentral:rRNA from 1 species